rnacentral:siRNA from 1 species
UCCUUCUCAUUUCCUUAAGAUGCC